rnacentral:rRNA from 1 species
AACGAACGCUGGCGGCAUGCCUAACACAUGCAAGUCGAACGAGACCUUCGGGUCUAGUGGCGCACGGGUGCGUAACGCGUGGGAACCUGCCCUUAGGUUCGGAAUAACUCCCCGAAAGGGGUGCUAAUACCGGAUAAUGUCUUCGGACCAAAGAUUUAUCGCCUUUGGAUGGGCCCGCGUUGGAUUAGCUAGUUGUUAGGGUAAAAGCCUACCAAGGCGACGAUCCAUAGCUGGUUUGAGAGGAUGAUCAGCCACACUGGGGCUGGGACACGGCCCAGACUCCUGCGGGAGGCAGCAGUGGGGGAUAUUGGACAGUGGGCGAAAGCCUGAUCCAGCAAGGCCGCGUGAGUGAUGAAGGCCUUAGGGUUGUAAAGCUCUUUUACCCGGGAUGAUAAUGACGGUACCGGGAGAAUAAGCUCCGGCUAACUCCGUG